rnacentral:rRNA from 1 species
UACGGGGGGGGGUAAGCGUUGUUCGGAAUUACUGGGCGUAAAGGGCUCGUAGGCGGCCAACUAAGUCAGACGUGAAAUCCCUCAGCUUAACUGGGGAACUGCGUCUGAUACUGGAUGGCUUGGAUUUGGGAGAGGAAUGCGGAAUUCCAGGUGUAGCGGUGAAAUGCGUAGAUACUGGGAGGAACACCGGUGGCGAAGGCGGCUACCUGGACGGGUACUGACGCUGAGGCGCGAAAGCUAGGGGAGCAAACAGG